CAACAGAUGCUCAAAGGCGGAUGACAGAAGCCGGCCUGCCACCCUCCAUUUGGACAGCAAGGCCCCGAGAGGGGUUCACCUGGGAGGUGUCAAUGGAAAAAGGCAGAGAGCCGGACAUUUUGCUCUGGAGGAACGACAGCAAGGCCGGGUCUGCCGCUGCUCUGUGCCCACUCUGCGUGAGCUCCUCCACUUGCUCUGGCCCCUAGAGUCCUCCUGAACCCAUCUGACAGAUGACCAACCUGAGACAAAGACGGCUCACAGGGCCACACAGCCAGGAGGGGUCCAGGUGGAGACUGAGAAGCAAAACUGAGCCAGAGCUUCCUGAACCUGUCCUUGGAGACCGUCUCAGCUCCUGAAGAGGAAAUGAAGAAGAACAGACAUGGACCCCAGUGGCUGAGCGCCUGGCCGCCGAUAUGGACCCGCCGCGAUCUGGCCUCUCCCGCCUCGGGGCUCUCGGACCAGUCCAGGAACCUCCCCCGCCUCACAACCUUCCGCGGCUCCCACGGUUCGCGCUCAGGUGCGGGCCCGCGA